AAGCCACACUGCUCCAUCACCGAUCACAUCAAAAUCACCCAGUCAGACACUCAGACAAUCACCCUGUCUCACUUAGUGACGGUCAGACCACGAGCGGGGGAGGUGUUUGUUUCUUUCAGUCUCUGCAGGCAACAUGUCAAAUAUUCCAGGCGCAGCGCAGCUCUUUGAUGAACUUGACAGUGGCUGUGUUGCUCCAGAGAAGUUGAUGGUGUACCUGCGGGAUGGAAGGACUCUCAUUGGGUACCUGCGCAGCGUUGACCAGUUUGCCAACCUGGUCCUGCACCGCACCAUUGAAAGGAUCCACGUUGGGAAUCGCUAUGGUGACAUAGAGCGAGGCGUCUUUGUCAUCCGGGGGGAGAAUGUGGUGCUGCUCGGAGAAAUUGACGAGACAAAGGAAGACAACGACAAAUUAGAAAACGUGAGCAUAGAGGAAAUCUUGGAGGCACAGCGAGUGGAGCAGGAGCGACGGCAGGAGCAGGAGCAGUUGAGGGCGCGGUUCAUGAAGGAACGAGGGUUGCAGUACACAGCCGAGAUUGGACCAGACGAUAUGUACUAGUGGGAGUGAGGGACAGUGUGUGGUGCUUCAUCUCAGUGAGACAGUGUGUAGAUGUAGUGGUGUAGCCGUGGGAACUUGGUCAACCAGCUUGCCAUGAGAGUGGAUUUGGCUGGCAGUGAGUGUGCUAAGAGGACUGGCACUGCAGGGGAGCAGUUCAAAGAGAGUCAACACAAACCAAGAUCUCGCCUUGUAUGGAUACAGUAAUGAAAUUGCAUGCACUUUUAAGAAUUACGGAAGCAACAUUGUUUGAAAAGCUUCACUGAAAGGUGUGGGCUUUGGAAUGUAACUCAUGUUGAACAAAUUUCUGUCUACCACAGUGGAGACACUUUCCAUCUUUGGUGAACCUGACAAAAA
rnacentral:misc_RNA from 1 species